rnacentral:rRNA from 1 species
CCCUUAGAUGUUCUGGGCCGCACGCGCGCUACACUGAUGCAUUCAACGAGUCUAAAACCUGCUCUGAUAGGGGUGGGUAAUCUUUUGAAUGUGCAUCGUGAUUGGGAUAGAUGAUUGCAAUUUUUCAUCUUCAACGAGGAAUGCCUAGUAAACGCAAGUCAUCAGCUUGCAUUGAUUACGUCCCUGCCCUUUGUACACACCACCCGUCGCUCCUACCGAUUGAAUGAUCCGAUGAAUAUCAUAGACUGAGAGUAUAAGCAGGUUCGCCUGUCUUUGCUUCUCGGGAAGUGAAGUAAAUCUUAUCAUUUAGAGGAAGGAGAAGUCGUAACA